GUAGCAGAAGGUCAAAUUGGUGAGGCGCCAGCUUAAAUAACCUUGUUCAACUCACUUACCCAAUCUGGGUCGAAGAAUGAGGAUUAUCGAAGGGAGCUGGAAUUGGAGGUUCGAUUCCUCCUCUGCUACG
rnacentral:tRNA from 1 species